GCCUUAGUGGUGUAGGGCUAGAGCACGCGUUCCUCGGAUUAGGAUGAAACGUGGGUUCGAUUCCCGCCUGAGGUC